UUCAAAUUUUUAAAAAUUAUUUUAUAGAACAAAAAAUUUUAUAUUUAAAGUUAUAAAGUGUCUUUUAUAGAUUCUUGCAUUAUUGAUUUCAGAAAAAUUGUUUGUAUUUGAUUUUUUGUUACCGUGAGUACAAAGUUCCAAGUUCUUGACAAACGCAAUUUAUCCACCUCUGACAUUUUCUUGGUAGCUAGCCAAGAUCUAAUCUAGACAAACUCUUUGUUUUAGUAAAUCUUUAUAUAUAAAAUACACUUUCAAUCUCUCCUGGGGUGACAGCUCGGAUUCCACGUCAGAAAUAGGAAGUCUACAGCGUUGACACGUCGGAUCCGCACCGUUUCACUAAAGCGUUGCUCUGUCCGAACGGGCUUCAUGUGGGCUUUGUGUUGCGCUUCGUCUGCGGCCCUAAUCAGUUGCGAUGCGAACCCCUUUGUGUUCUUCGUUUCUCUUCGAUCGCGCAGUGACGAUCCAGUUAUCUAAGCAUCACACUACUUGGUCAUCCUUCAUCUUCCUAUCCAUCAGUUGCGAUUGCAUUCGGUAUAUAUAUAUGCACCUCACGGAACCCUCAAACAAUCUAAUCCUUCCACAAUCUUCUUCAGAUCCUCCUUUAUCUUCUUUCUCCGUUAGAAGCGAUUGUUUCUAAGAGACAUCUUAAUUGACAUUUCAUCCUAGAUUCUUAUUAAUGGCAGUCUGUAAGUUAAAUUUCCCUUUUUGUUCUUUCUGUGCACAUGGAAUUUACAUUUGCUUAAUUUUUUUUGCAUCUGUGUUUGACGUUUGAAAAUCUGAAUCCGAUUUCAAAGUCAUGGAUCUGGAAAUUAAUGAUGCGCUGGCGAUGAAAAUUUGUCGUGAUACCAGCAUAAAUUCACGGGACGGUUGGCGUUCCUCUCCGGCGUGUAAGUUUACGGAAACAUAACACUUUUUCAUUCUUUAUGAAUCUCCAAGAAAUAGAGGAAUCGUUGUGAUAUACAGUUUUGAUUGAUCUUUAACAGGCUAAGUUGUUUACAUUCAGAUAGAAUCGUUCAUCGUUAUAUGAAAAAGAUACAUGCUUUUGGAUUAACAGAUCAAUCUAUGGCUUGCUAAUUUUGGAGUGGCUAGGAUUGGAGCUUAGAAUCCAAAUGACAUGACUGAAGAAACUGGUACUCUUGGAUACAUGGCUCCAAAGGUAACAAAGGAACCUAACCCUUACGUUAAGGAUUGGUUAGGGUUAACUUUCUAUCUCCCUCAUUGUGAGUGUAGUAUUGAAACAUGUUAUUUGGGGACUAAACUGGUUUAUGGUUUCGUUGGUUUAAUAGAAAAACUUAACGUUUUUACCCCAAAAAAAAAGAAAACAAAACUUAAACGCAGUAUUAAACCCAUUUGUUAUUCAGUUUUAGUUUCCACUCAUAUUGAUGCAGCGUUGGUUUCCACUCAGAUCAUAUACUCAUCCCUUUUGGCUGUUUAUAGAAUUUGUUUUGUUCAUGGCAGUGAGAACGUCUCAGCCGAGAAGAUCAAGAGCUGAUGCAGAAGCUUCCUGAUUCCAGCAAAUCAAACGCCGUUGAACAACAUAAAAUCUGUUUCACCCUAUUCAAAAGUGAGAAAUUUGCGAGUUAUUAAAUUUAGUAUUUUUUAUCUUCACUUCUCCUCUGAAAUUGUCUUUUUAGCUCUCCUUCUUUUACAGGAUCCAUUUGGUAAGAAGCUGAUGGAUAGGAUCCGGCCAACCCAACCCCGGUCCUGCACAGUACUCUUCGUCCGCCUCUACCACGGUGUCUCAACCCAACUCUGGUUCCUGCCAUGUUGAUGCAGAUCUACAGCGACACUAUAGGUGUUGCCAAAUCUGCACUUUAAUCCUCCUAAGUUCAAUUUCAUGCCGCAAAUUUAGAGACACGAAAAGACAGAACUCUGAACAAGUAGAAGAACAAGAUCCACUUAUUAGUUGUUGUUCUUCUUUGAUGUAGUUGAACACAGUUUUGUAUGUUGGAAAUGACUUUGAUCGGCCAGUUUUGUAAAGAGUAUUCACUAAUUAGCUGACGCCUUGGAUCAUGUUA